UGGGGAAUCUUCCGCAAUGGGCGAAAGCCUGACGGAGCAACGCCGCGUGAAUGAAGAAGGCCUUCGGGUCGUAAAGUUCUGUCUUUAGGGAAGAAGUCUUUUUGUGUAAAUAAUGCAGAGAGGUGACGGUACCUGAGGAGGAAGCUCCGGCUAACUACGUGCCAGCAGCCGCGGUAAUACGUAGGGAGCGAGCGUUGUCCGGAAUUACUGGGCGUAAAGGGCGCGUAGGCGGGAUCUUAAGUUAGGUGUGAAAACUCCGGGCUCAACUCGGAGACUGCACUUAAAACUGGGAUUCUUGAGGGCAGGAGAGGAAAGUGGAAUUCCUAGUGUAGCGGUGAAAUGCGUAGAUAUUAGGAGGAACCCCAGUGGCGAAGGCGACUUUCUGGACUGUACCUGACGCUGAGGCGCGAAAGCGUGGGGAGCAAACGGG
rnacentral:rRNA from 1 species